rnacentral:rRNA from 1 species
GACGAACGCUGGCGGCGCGCUUAAUACAUGCAAGUCGAGCGAGAACUAGGGCUUCGGCCCUGGGGACAGCGGCGAACGGGUGAGUAACACGUGGGUAAUCAACCCCCGACACCGGGAUAGCCCAGGGAAACUUGGAUUAAUACCGGAUGCCCCAUCUGGCUUUCGAGCCGGCUGGAAAAGGGUAGCUUCGGCCUCCGGUCGGGGACGAGCCCGCGGCGGAUUAGCUUGUUGGUGAGGUAAAGGCUCACCAAGGCGACGAUCCGUAGCUGGUCUGAGAGAACGAUCAGCCACACUGGGAAUGAGACACGGCCCAGACUCCUACGGGAGGCAGCAGUAGGGAAUCUUGCGAAAUGGGCGAAAGCCUGACGCAGCGACGCCGCGUGAGGGAAGAAGGCCUUCGGGUUGUAAACCUCUUUCAGGAGGGACGAAGCCACUCGGGUUAAUAGCCUAGAGGGUGACGGUACCUCCAGAAGAAGCCCCGGCUAACUACGUGCCAGCAGCCGCCGUAA